AGUGAACGCUGGCGGUAGGCCUAACACAUGCAAGUCGAACGGCAGCACAGUAAGAGCUUGCUCUUACGGGUGGCGAGUGGCGGACGGGUGAGGAAUACAUCGGAAUCUACUUUUUCUUGGGUGAUAACGUAGGGAAACUUACGCUAAUACCGCAUACGACCUACGGGUGAAAGCAUGGGAUCUUCGGACCUUGCGCGAUUGAAUGAGCCGAUGUCGGAUUAGCGAGUUGGCGGGGUAAAGGCCCACCAAGGCGACUAUCCGUAGCUGGUCUGAGGGGAUGAACAGCGACACUGGAACUGAGACACGGUCCAGACUCCUAAGGGAGGCAGCAGUGGGGAAUAUUGGACAAUGGGCGAAAGCCUGAUCCAGCCAUACCGCGUGGGUGAAGAAGGCCUUCGGGUUGUAAAGCGCUUUUGUUGGGAAAGAAAAGCAGCAGGUUAAUACCCCGCUGUUCUGACGGUACCCAAAGAAUAAGCACCGGCUAACUUCGUG
rnacentral:rRNA from 1 species